UACGGGGGGGGCAAGCGUUGUUCGGAAUUACUGGGCGUAAAGGGCUCGUAGGUGGCCAACUAAGUCAGACGUGAAAUCCCUCGGCUUAACCGGGGAACUGCGUCUGAUACUGGAUGGCUUGAGUUUGGGAGAGGGACGCGGAAUUCCAGGUGUAGCGGUGAAAUGCGUAGAUAUCUGGAGGAACACCGGUGGCGAAGGCGACAUCCUGGACCGGUAUUGACGCUGAGGCGCGAAAGCGUGGGGAGCGAACAGG
rnacentral:rRNA from 1 species